GCAAACUUGGUCAUUUAGAGGAAGUAAAAGUCGUAACAAGGUUUCCGUAGGUGAACCUGCGGAAGGAUCAUUACCGAAUUGUCGGCAGCAGCUGUUGCUGGUCCUCACAGAGGGGGCAUGUGCACGCUCUGUUUACACAUCCACUCACACCUGUGCACUCACUGUAGUCCUAUGGUCUGGGAGACCCCGUCUUCCUUCUGUCGGCCUGCUCUUUUAUAUACACACUGUAACAAAGUCUUAUGGAAUGUGGUUCUGCGUUUAACGCGAUACAGUACAACUUUCAGCAACGGAUCUCUUGGCUCUCGCAUCGAUGAAGAACGCAGC
rnacentral:misc_RNA from 1 species